rnacentral:rRNA from 1 species
UACGAAGGGGGCUAGCGUUGUUCGGAAUUACUGGGCGUAAAGCGUAUGCAGGCGGACUUUUAAGUCGGGGGUGAAAUCCCGAGGCUCAACCUCGGAACUGCCUUCGAUACUGGAAGUCUUGAGUUUGGGAGAGGGAUGCAGAAUUCCAGGUGUAGCGGUGAAAUACGUAGAUAUCUGGAGGAAUACCGGUGGCGAAGGCGGCAUCCUGGACUAACACUGACGCUGAGGCGCGAAAGCUAGGGGAGCAAACGGG